GUCCCGUUGGUCAAGUGGUUAAGACGCCGCCCUCUCACGGCGGCAACAGGGGUUCGACUCCCCUACGGGAUACCA
rnacentral:tRNA from 1 species